CUUUCUUAUUUGUAAACGGAGUAUAAAAGCUUACAAGUUCAGGGAUGGCUUUUGCAGUCCCACCAUAGAUAGCAUUUCCCCAUCCGAAAUCUACCUUUUCAAGUCCGGCACGUCUCAAGUCCGACACUAUGUAGGUCCCUGGCACAGUAAAAAGAGGCCUUCCCUUGCUCACCAUCAACGAUGCUGUGGAUCGCAAGUAUUCCUCAGUCAUGUCCGCCUUAGCCUUCCUUACCAGCUCCAAAGCAUAUCCAAUUGGCUUUCUCGAAAGUUCCCCCGCAGUGGCUACUGCUGCUAGAAGACCAAAACCAUUGCCAUAGUAACCUCUUGGUAAUAACGGAGGGUUGAAUUUUUCACGAGCGUUGACGAGGCAAAUUAUGCGCAUUUCUUCAUUAGGAUCUGGUUGGAGGGCAAUGGUCCGACAUAUCCAAAGACAUGCCGUUAAUAUUUCGAAACUAGAACAAUGGCUGAGGUGAGGUGGGACCAAUCUUCGAAGAGCUGUUAUAUCUGAAGGGCUAAAGAAAAAUGAACGAUGAACCAGAUGAUCUUGUGUAAGAAUUGAGCUCGUGGGGCCAGCUACCUCCUCGUACGCUCGGUGUCUGCAUGUAACUCGAGGUGGAGUUGCAUUAAGGACAUGUCUUUCCCACACUGGAGGGACAGAUGGGGCGUUGGCUCCGCGGGCCAUCUCAGCCACCGCUGCCAUGAAUUGCACUAAUCCUGGGCCAUCACUCAUGGUAUGGUUGAGGCGGAGGGCAAAGAGAAAACCACCACACUUGAGCCGUGACACCUGCCAAUUUGCAUAAUCAAUUAGUGGAUGUAUUAGCGAAUUAUGCCUAUUUGACUAGUGGAUUGGAAUUUUUAGAUCAUCAACACAAAGCAGGAACAAAAUAUUAAACCUAAUAAAUAUAACAUAUAUGAUGUGACUUUUCCUCCUCAACUUGCACUAACAAGAAAGAUUACGAUUUGAAAUUAAAAUUUUGAGAUCAUUUUUUAAUAAAAAUAUAACAAACUACGGGAAAAAAAUAUCGGAACAUACAAUUAAUCAUGGUAGGGUUUCACGAUAUAAUAUAUAGCUUAUAAUUUUGCUAUCGUCUACUCUUAUGAUGGCUUGAUAGACUUCGUAGUGUUUGAUACGCAUAAGUAUUUCUUGCUCCCUUAAUAAUUUUUGCUGCCUAAUAGGUGACAAAAAUACCGAAAAAAAUAGUAAGUACAGAGGGCAGUUUAGCACCCGCUAGAGCCAGGCACGUCGAAGAGGAGCUCCUCCAAGCAAGGAAAUGGAGGUUGAAGUGGAUCACCAAACUGCUCAAGUGUAACAUCAGCGUCAGCCUCUAUAAACAAGAUACCCUCGCCAGUGCAUUCCACCAUGAGCUUAUGCCCUUCCCCAGCCUGCCGGCAAAUGGAUAGUAAAACACUAACGUCUUAGCAAUUGCCUCUCUGAUGACCUUGACGGGGUCUUUCCCUUGCAUUGAGGGAUUGUGGCGAUAAAAUAGUAUGAGUGGAAUGAAUCGAAAUCCUUCUUGGUCAUCAAUGUCAGAUAGCAGUUUGAACUCAUGUGGGGUGGGCUUCGCUGGUUUGAUCAGCUCUGGUUCACGUCUGUGAACUUUGAAAACUAGAGAAGAGGGAUGAAGCCAUUUGGUAUAGAAUGAUUUUUAAAAAUGAAGCAAAGCAUUAUAUAGAAAAGGCUAAGAGCAUAUCGGACAAAUAAAGAUGAAAGAGUGAACUAUCAUGCAGUGUUGCUUUAGCACAAUUUAAGAUUGUUAGAUUUUUGUGGUUUAAAUUGAAAUGACGUGGCAUGUUUUGACGAGCCAUGUUACCUUGAUAAAUAUAUAUAUAAUAUAUAAAUAUAUAAAAAUCCUUAAUUGUUGACCUGGCAGUAGCAUGUAACAUGUUUUAAUCUUUCUUUCUUUUUUUCCCUCUAGAGAUGGUGGUUUUCCUAUAGAUUCGUUGGUCUUUUCAAUCAGUAUUUGGUGGUUAUGAUUGUAUUUAUUGUUGAGAAAUUCCAUGAAUCUAACUCGUUCAAAUAUAAGAUAAUCAAUCCUUAACAGUUGAGCUGGCAGAAGGAUGUAACAAUACAAAUAUAAUUAAUUCUUGAGGUUACCGCUAGCUAAUUGGCAUUUGCUUUGUUGCGUGUCCAACUUUUCUUAACAUUAAAAACAUUGUAGCUAGGCAUUGCGAAUAUAUUAUCUAUUUGUAAGUAAAAAAUUAAUGUAUAUAAAAUAGUUUUUUUUUCUAAAUAUUAAGAUAACAAAUAUCUACAAUUAAAUCGAAUUAACCUGAAUUUUUCAUAAAAUAAUAAUGAGAUAUAAAACAAAUCUUGUUACUAAGUCAGGCUGGACCUAUUUUAAGUCUAGUCCAAUUUAAAAAUAAAAAAAGAUUUCAAAAUAUUUAUAAUUUUCUCUCAUGUUUUUCUAAUAAUUUUGAUAAUAUCAGGUUAUAUAUUAACAUUGUAAAAUACAUAUCUGAUAUUAAAAUACCUGGUUUUCUUCAAAAUCUUUCUUAAAUUUUUUUUUAUUUUAAAAAAUCAAAACAAAAAAUUUAACCCUCUUUAAAAAAAUAAAAAUAUAUUUUAUUUUUGUCCAACAUCUUAAAAGUUUUCUAUGCAUACUUUUUAUAUAUAAAAAAAAACAAAAAUGUACUUUCUUAUAUUCUAAAAAGAAUAUUGUAACUAGUUCAUGAUUAUCUAUUAGGGUUUGGUAAAAAUAUAAAAAACUCUUCACCAAUCAUUUUGUUCACUUUAUAUUUAAAGUAGGGUUUAGUUGUAGACUUUAAUACUUGGAGAGGUAUACCUUAAGUAUUAAAUAUACAAAAAUAUAUAUGAUACUAAAAUUUGGGUUUUAGAAUAGUUAGGUUUUAACCCGAUAUGGAAGAGACUUUCUCAUGUAGGUAGAUCUACCUUGAAUUAUAGACAAGACCAAUAGAUAGAAACAUGAUCUAGGAAAAAUAAUUAAAUAACAAUGUAACUUACUUUAACUAGGGUGCACUUGGGGUGAUGCAUUUUUCUCUUGCACAACUAGUCCUUUACCCAAACUCUCCGUUCUUAAGUUUCUUGGUAACUCACCACAAGAAUUCACAGUUUUACCGACGGCAAUAUUCCGUCGGUGUGUGAUUGAUAGUACAUCGGUAAAUUAUUUAUCGACUACAUUACCGAUGGAAUACGUCUGUCGGCUUACCUUUCGUCGGUGAUUCCACAGUCCGUCGCUAUGUCGAUCGGAAAAACAAAAAAACCAUUUACCGACGGUUUUACAGACGGAAUUUGCGCGCUAAAAAAAAAGUUUCCCGCUUCAAAAAUACCGACGGAUUUUUAUUCCGUCGGUGAUAUCACAAGUCACCGAUGGUUACUUUCCAUCGGUAACUUCAUCGGUGAAUUGUUGAAAUACCGACAGAAUAUACUGUCUGUCAAUUCGUUGGUGAGUCAUGAAAACACCAACCAAAUAUAUUCGUCUGGAAAUUUAUCGGUGAUGGUCGCGGCUACUGUCUAAUGUCGACAGAUUUAUUCCGUCGGUAAAUCCCUUUGUUUUUUUUUGUUUUUUUUAUAAUUAUUUAGAAUACAUAAUAUAAAAUGAUAUAAAUUAAUGGUAAUAAAAACCAAUUAUGCAAAUAAAAUUUAUAUUAAGCAUCAAAAACAAAAAAUGAAAGAUAAAUAAUAUUCAUUACAAAAUGAAAUGUUUCAAAAAAACAUUAAAUGAAAUUUUAAAUGUAAAUAAUGUUUAUUAAAAAUUAAUAUAAAGGAGGAGGAGGAGGAGGAGGAGGCUGGCUGUUAUGCGGCCAAAAAGGAUUUGGUGCACAUGUUCCACCUUGUGCCAUGGUCAUGACUAUUUGAUGAAGCUCUUCAUAGGCCGCUCUUUGUUGUUCAGAAUCUGCUUUGUAUUGUUCUUUGAGUUGUGUGUACGUCUCUGAUAGGUGGUCGCACUUUUGUUGCAAGGCCAUGAACUCCUUAGAUUGGGAGCUCGAUACUGAUUAGGAGCUCCCAACGGUUGAAGCAGUACGGGUCGUCUGCAAGUUGUCGGCCCUAGUGUUGGAGAGCCCGUAAACCCGAUUCUUAUCUGGUCCACCUGACGAUCCAGCCUCCAUCCAUAAAUCCAGAUCGAAUUCCGGAUGGGUCGAAGGAUCGUCCCCGUAUGUCUCCCUCAACCGAUUAUUAUAGGUCUCCUGAAAAUAAAAAAAGUAAUCAUCAUUGUCGCACGUGUGCAGCGUUGCGGCGAAAAUAUAUUGUCCCACUUUAAAUCUAAAAAUAUAUCUAUCUAUCUGGCAAAUAUAGGGAGACAAGGAAUUCUUGUCUUUUAUCAGUGAAAAAUGAAAUGGGAGUCGCCACCUAGUAUUUUGGUCACUAGGAACCCUAACUGGUCUUAGAGAUCGGGUACGGGGACUGGUUGCGUAAAGGAAAGGUAUUAGCACCCCAAAUACGCCUUACCUAAGAUAAGCUGCAUUGUUUGAUUGUCUGAUAAAAAGCUAAGGUGUUAUUUCUAUUGGUCCGUCUAGGGUUCAAGAAAAGUCCUCCUCAAUAAGAAGGUCCUUAUCUUAUCGGGUAAUUCUGACGUUAACAAAAAAAAAUAUUAAUAUUCGGAAUACGUCUUACGUAUAAAAUCGUAACCCCAAAUACUAAAAGAAAACACAAUAACUUUUUUGGAAUUUUUGAAAUAUUGGCCUAGUUCUCAUGGCUUGAAUAAACUGGUUAUUAAAGCCAAAAUGCAUGCUAAUACAUAUAUUGUUUUGAAAUUUCCUUUGUUGUGUGAAAAUAUGAUGUUAUAAUAUUUAUAUAUAUAUUGGAGAGACUAGUCCGUAUGCAUGAAAACAAAAUAAUUUUUUUUUUAUUAUAAUUUUUUUCUUGACGAAAACCGGGUAUUUUAAUACCGGAUUUGUAUCUUUACAGUAUAAAAAUACAAACCGGUAUUGAUGAAAAUACAAAUAAUAAAAUUACAGAAAAAUCACAAAUUCUUUGAAAUAAUUUUUGAAGAAUUUUUAUUUUUAUUUUUUUGGGCUGGACUCAGCUGGGCACAUAUGGCUGGGCUGAACCUAGCAGGCCUUACCAGGUCGCGAAUUAUAUUUAACGUGAACAGUGAAAUGCAAGGAAAUGGUGCAUGCACAAUGACGAAGGGGGGCAAACCUGGUGGCGAAAACGAUGCUGAAGACAAUGGCGAACACUCACAGUGAUGUUGGUGGCGGUGGAGAGGAAGCCGACGAGGGAUCACGUGGUGGUGGUGGCCGGAUUGGCGGUGGCAGUGCAAGGAAGCUCAAUGAUAGCAGUUGUUGUCUCUUCCCCUUUGUAGAGGCGUUGCUUCUUCUCUUGGUUUCCUUUGUUCCCUUUGUCAACGUUGUUCUUCCCUUUCUACAGCAGCUUCAUGGAGGUGCAGGUGGUAGCUGACUGUGAUGCUGAUGGCGGUGGAAAGGAAGUCGAUGAUGCCUCAAAUGGUUAUGAAGGUGACAGUGGCUGGGAAGCCUAAGGACAGCAGUUGUUUCCUUCUUCUUCUUCCCCGUGCAGAGGAGCAGGUGCUGCCUUUUCUUCAAAUGGUGCAGCAACGGGUGGGAGAAGCUGAUGAGUAAAAAAAACGACGAUCCCUGGCAGUGUUGAUGUGUUUGUAUUUCCCUCCCUCAGUUUCAGAGCUUCCCCGUUUUCUCCCCUUCUUUUUUUUAUUUCGUUUCCUCUCUUUCUACCCUCUCACAGUGGCUCUCUUCAUUUCCAAAAAAAAUCCUCCCCCCUUUAGACGAUGUUGGGCGCAGUAUUUAUAGAGCAAAGAGGAGCAGCCUGGUAUUGCGCAUGGGGAGCAGGGGAGCAGCUUGUUGUCGGGUGAGUUCUCCAAUGGGUGUGGCUUUGCAGGGCACACCUACACUAUUUUCUAGUCAUGCUGUUUUUGGUUUUUGCAGCAGCAUGCGGGGAGAGAGAGAGACGACACCAUUCUGUUUUUUUUUCUUUCCCUCAUUUUUUUUAAUUUGUGGGGUGUACCCAAAAAUGGGUUACAACAAUCAUAUUCAAUUCAAUAAACAUAAUAAUAACUUACAAAAUAAAAUGGUUGAACAAACAUACCACAAACUGUUGAGCAUGGUUGUCAACGAACUGUUGGGUCCCCUUUUGGAGGUCAUGACUCCGCACGUGCGUCUCCACAAACAGCUACAUAGGGCUCGGCUCACGUCUAAGAGACGUAGCCUAUAAUGAAAAAUAUUUAUUAACAACAAAUUAAUUGAACGAUAUAUCUCAUUUAAAUUAAUCUUACCAUCCGUUUCGCAUGUGCAGAAACGAAACGGAGCCGCCGGUGUGCGUUGUCACGGAGCCAUGAAUUGGCCGAUUCCGGUUGCCAGCACCGAACUGUGAGCUUCGAGUGAACCGCUCAGACGUCACGUGCUGAAGAUAGUGCGACCAUAUAUCUUCCGGGAUGUAUAUUGGUUUGAAAUCCCUCCAAACCGCAACAUCGUUCCAGCCUUAGAACCGCUUAUCCCUCGCUGUUUUUUUUUGCUUUUUUCUGGGUUUCAUACCAAAAAUCACGCAACCUAAUUCACGCACGAAAAAAUUACAUUUCGAAACAUAAAUAAUUAUGUAAAAAAAAAGUCGUAUUGUUUUCGAUGUUACUUAAUUGCCGCGUGAUUUUCCCACACCCUCCUCACAACAGUGUCAUGUUUAUCGUCCCAGCAGAAUCGAUGCUGUGUAUAAAAAAAUAAUUUUUUAAAAUGUUAAUAAUUUAUUUACAAUUAUAACUAGAAUUUAUUAGAAAUAAGCUGAAAAUUAUAUAUUAACACGAACCUCAAAUCUACGAAACCAUGCAUUGAUUUGAGACAUCCAUUCAGGAUGUCUGGAUAUCUGACUUCAUUGAAACAAUGGAAUCUCCAUCGACGAUUUAAACGCCGAUGAUAUUACUCGAGCGGCCUCAAUGUUUGUGAACCUAAAAAGAAAUGAAAUUAGUGAAAUAGUGAUUACUUCAUAAAUUAUGUUUUAAAUUUGUUUUUUUUAUAUAUAAAAAAAAACUAAAAGCUUAACAAACUUACAUUGAAAGAUCGUCCUUCCACUGUGCCUCGUACUUGCGGGUAAAUUGAUUCCGCUGUGAAGGCACGCCGCUUCUGCGAUGUGAAACAUCGCUGGAAGAGGCAGCAUCGGUUGACGGCGCAGGUGGUGUAGGUGCCUCUUCUUGAGAGGCACCUAAGGAAACAUCAUCAUCGCUGCUAGACGAACUUGAUUCGACUGGACGUGAACGACCAGCUCUGGUUUUCAUUUUGCGCAUCUAAACAAUUUUAUAUAAAUAAUAAUAUAAUAAAAUUCAAAAGUUUAAAAAAAAAAUCGGCAGCACCUCCCCUAUACUGGAUACCACCCAAAUCCACAAACCUGCAAAUAUUAACAAUAGCCACAACCAAUUGAACCAAUCUAUACUAAUUAUUCCAACAUAUUCAACUAUUAAUCCUAAGAUAAAUUCAACGUUAACAAUUACAAUUCACAAAUUAUUCAAUAAUUAUGUCAAUACAACAAAACUAUAAAUUCAAAAUAAAUAGAAACAAUUAAACACAAAUCAUCAAGUUAGAGUAAAAUUAAUAAUUCUUCCAACAUAUUCAAUUAUUAAAUCUAAGAUAAAUUCAACAUUAACAAUAUUAAUUCAACAAAUUAUUAAAUAAUUAUGGCAAUACAACAAUAAAAUAUAUUCAAUAAAAUAAAAAAGAAUUAUAGCCUAACAAUUAAAAUCAAUGGAAACAAUUAAACACAAAUCAUGCAAUAAUAUAUAAAAAAUACUAAUUAUUCCAACAUAUCCAAUUAUUAAUUCUAAGGUAAAUUCAACAUUAACAAUUAUAAUUCAACAAAUUAAUCAAUAAUUAUAUAUGGCAAUACAACAAUAAAUUAUAUUCAAUAAAUUAAAAAAAUAUAUAGACUAACAAUUAAAAUCAAUGAAAAUAAUUAAACACAAAUCAUGCAAUAAUAGAGUAAAAUUAAUAAUUAUUCUAACAUAUUCAAUUACUAAUUCUAAGUUAAAUUCAACUUUAACAACAAAUAUUCAACAAAUUAACUAAUAUGUUAUUAUGACAACAAAACAAUAAAAAAUAUUCAAAAAAUUCAAAAAAAAACCUACAUCAAUAAAAGGAACGAAAUAUACAUACCUUAAUAAUGUGACAAAUUCAAAACUUUAUCUACAUUACAAAAAAAAACACCAAAACAACAAAAUAACAAAAAUAAAAACAACUAAAAAUAAAUUAAAAGUAAAUAAAAUAAAUUGGAAAAAAACACAUACCUUUUAAUUUGAGGAAGAUUCACAACACUAAAUCUUGCUAGAGAUUGAAGGUGAAAUUCUUGAAGGAUUCAGGGCAAAAAAAUAAAAAAUCUGAGGUGCAAAACGGAGGAGAAGAGAAGAGAAGCGGCGCGGGGAGAAGAAGAAAAAAUGAGGCGAAGCGGCGGGGGCUGGAACUUAUAGGGCAGUUUUACCGACGGCAUCACCGACGAACUUAAUAUCCGUCGGUAACAGGUCAAAAAUUCGUCGGUACUGUUUGAAUUUCGCACCGAAUUUUUAAAAGCCCUCCCUAUUUUUCGACGUCCGUCGGUAAUAUGACAAGUUCAGAGGCACAUUAAUUCACACACUUUGGAAAUCGUGCGGUCCGUCGGUAUUUCUGUCGGUAAUAUAUGUGACCGACAAAUUACCGACGGAAAUAGUCCGUCAGUAUUAGCGUCGAAAAAUCUGUCGGUGAAUCCGUCGGUGAUUGUGGCAUUUUGUUGUAAAUAUUUUCGAACUCUCUGUGAGAUACCGACGGACUAGAAUCCGUCGGUAUACCCGUCGAUGAUUGUGGCAUUUUGUUGUAAAUGUUUUUGAACUCUCUGUGAGAUGCCGACGGAUUUAAUUCCGUCGGUAUACCCGUCGGUGAAGGUGGCAUUUUGUUGUAAUUGUUUUCGAACUCUCUAUGAGAUGCCAACGGAUUUAAUUCCGUCGGUAUACCCGUCGGUGAAGGUGGCAUUUUGUUGUAAUUAUUUUCGAACUCUCUGUGAGAUACCGAAGGACUAGAAUCCGUCGGUGUAUGGAUGGUUAUCUGUCGGUAUGGACGUCGGUAAGUUUGCAUUAUGCAGGAAAGGUUGUCUUUGUAUUGCCUGUUUACCUUCCUGCAAAAACUUAACUGAUAAACUGUUCAUCACAUAAAACAAUAACCACAUUGCUUAAACAGAAAAUAUUUUGUUUUACAAAAUACAUCAUCCAUAAUCUAAAUUACAUGAGACAAAUGUUUUUACAUAGGGCUUCAUUUUCAUAAUUAGUCGGAAUUUUCUUCUUUUUCCUCAUCAAUUGAAUUGUCAUCAUCUUCAUCGCAAUCUUCAAUAUGGAUAUCAUCUUCUUCAUUGACAUUUGCUUGUCCGCUAGAGCUGAGAACAACAUUCAACUCCUCUCCGUCAAUAUCAACAAGACUAUCAUCGAGAAAUCGAAAAUUUGAAUUUUCUUCCAAUUCAAUCGAAGGAGCAACUCGAUAUGGUUAAACCAACUCACGAACUUGAAAGACUUCAUCUCGCACACUUAUGUUGCGAUGUCGCGGUCGCACCAAUUAAUUACCCUAGCUUAAAACCCACAAGAUAGUAUAGAGCAAGCAAGGGGUCGAUCCCACGAGGAUGGUUUAAUUCAGAUUUUUAUGCUAUACGUUAUGCAAUGGGGGGGUUUGAUUUGCAAUGAUAUAAACUAUGGCAGAAAUUAAACUAGCAAACAAAAUCAAUUGAAACUGAAAUAUAUCAAGAAAACAAACCUUGGUUGCAAGCACACACCACCAACGGAAAUUAGAACCGAUCCUUGAAACGAAACUCCAGUUUAUAUUAUGAAUUUUAUCUUUUUUCAGUAUUGGUUAAUUAACGGAUCCGCCGUAUAACUAGCCCUAACCAACAAACAAUCACAGUGUUCGCACUAAUGAUUUAAUCCAAUGGCCUUAAGAUCCAGAUAAAUUCAUUAAUCUUAACAACCAAGUUGUCAAUUUAUGUUGCUAUGAUCGAAUGUUCUCCCUAAGUUUAAUAACGUAGUUCCGCUACAAUUAUCAAGCUUAGUUGCUUCACAAGUUUAUAUACCAGAACUCUGGUUUUGAUAUCAAACUUAGCAAUAGAUUGUUCACAAUAAUAACUUAGAGUCCGCUCUAGCAAUUAAGAUAAACAAUCAUAGGAAAUAUGCAUAGGAAAACAAUCAUACUCAUUCAUAACAUAAACUGAAAAUAAAAGGAAGAAUAAAUCUCACGGUUCUUAAAUUCCGAAGGUUUGUUGUGUCCUUGCAACCAAGAAAACGAGCUUAGCCUUGCAUAUCUAUUAAACAACUACUCCUAAAGAUGAAAGAAUACAUGAUUUCUGAUUUGUAUAGAGGAGAGUUUGUGUUUCCUCUCUUCUUGAUGCCACCUCUUUCUCCUCUCCCUCUAUUUAUACACAAAUUAUAAGUAAGAAAAUCAAAGUUCAAGUGUGAACAUCAAUAGAUGGUGGUAGUGUGAAGGCGGCUGGCGGCUGGUGGCUGGUGGCUGCCUUCCUUGACCUUCUAGAAUAUUUACUAGAGGAGCUAAAUUGCUGGUCGGUUUGGAUGCUUCUUCUGGAUGAAAUUUGGAUUCGUUUCUUCACGCAACCUGCUUUCUGGCAGAAUUCAGUUGUCAUCUUUGAAAAAUCAUAUCUCCCUCAUAUGAAAUCGUUGUUUGCUGAAAUUUGGAGAGUUUAUAGAUCUUUGAGUAAGGAAUCCAAACAAAUUGAAUGGGCAAAUGUCAACAUUGACAGACUGCAAGAUUUGACUUUGAAGGAUGUGAUUUCCAUGAUCUUUCUCUUUUUAUUUUUCUUGCAUUACAUUUCCAGAAAGGUAUGGAUGUUAGCUUUUUAAUGCCAUUGGAAUCACUUCGUUUCGACCUCUAGAACUCACGCUCUGCACAAAACAUCGACUGAACGUCAACUCUGCCAAUUACCUCCAAUUUACUCCUUUUUGUAUCUUUCAUUCAAAAGUACCUUCGAAACAUAAACAAAGAAUAUCAAGGCAUUUUAUAUAAAUAACAUAUGCAAAACACUAGUUAAAUGCGGGUGAAACUAUUGAAUAAUAUGGUUCAAUCGAAGGAGCAACGCGAUAUCGUUCAACCAACUCACGAACUUGAAAGACUUCAUCUCGCACACCUGUGUCUUCAUUCUCAUCCUGAACAACCUCGACACGACCCCGUGGUUUCGUUUUUAAAACGGACAACCAAUCAACUCUUGAUCGAUCUUUUCUAAAUGAAGGGGUGUAUGUGUAAUAAACUUAUUGACAUUGCUUUGCGAAAACAAAGACAUUGUUUAUGUUGCGGAGUCUAGCUUUUGAGUUGAUUUCAACCAGACCAUGGUGCGGAUCAACUCUGAUUCCUUUGUUCGUCGUGUCAUACCAAUAGCAUUUGAAUAAAAACACUUUAUUCUGCUCGCUAUGAUAUUGCAGUUCGACGACCUCUUCUAAUCUACCAUAGUAGUCAACUUCUAACUGGCUACUUGUGGAUCCCUUAACACAAACACCGCAGUUGUAUGUCUUUCUUUCUUGCCCGUAUUCUUCAGUAUGGAAAACAUAUCCAUUGACAAAAUACCCGUUGUAGCACUUAACUUUUCUUUCAGGGCCGAGGCUUAGUGAAGACAAUGACUUAGACGCACUCCUUCCCAUUUGAUAAACCUUGUAAAUAUAUGUAAUUAAAUGUACAUCAAUAAAUGGUAAAUGAACGAGAAUCUCGUAAUGACAUGCAUACGUUAGAAUGAGUUUGUGAUAGUGCUUACAUGUGUUCUGAACCAUGUGGCAAAUUGUUCAUCUUGUAAUUGAAAGAUCUGGAUUCGGUCAGCUGCGAGUUAUUGGAGAGCAAAUAUUGUCGAUGUUGCCUGCAAGUGAUAAUGAGUGUAUGAUAUUACAAUAUAUAAUUAACAGUAUAUUACUGAUAAAGUUUAAUUAGUAUUACACAUAUAUAGACUUACUGAAUAAAUGGUCUCAGCUCAUCACAGUUAAAUAGAACAUAGUUGUGUGCUUGUUUGAACUCUAUUUUCGACAAAUAUCUUCCUCUUACGGCAUUUUUAGGUGUGGGUCGUCCAGUAUUGGAGAAUAUUGACAAGUUCCCACUAGAAGGCCCUUCACCGCCAUCGUCAUGCCGUGGAACGCGAUUGAUUCUUGUUCUCAGAUGAGGUUCGAAAUAGUACGAGAUAAAUGUUGUUCUUAACCUUUUUUUUAGAUUAAACAAGUACCUGCAUUGAAGUACAAUUCAAGUAUUUUCAAUUAAGAAAAACAUAGAAAAUACUUUAAGAUAUGAAUUCCAUUGCAACUGUAGUAUCUCACCGUUCGAAUGGGUACAUCCAUCUAUACUGGACCGGUCCUCCAGCUUUUGCCUCGAACGGUAGAUGUAUAGGGAGAUGCUCCAUUGAGUCAAAAAAUAAAGGAGGGAAUAUCAUCUCAAGUUUGCAUAGUGUCUCGAUGAUAUUCGUUUGAAGCCUCUCAAUGUGCUCAACAUUCAUCUUGCUGGAGCAUAUAUCUCUGAAGAAAUGACUGAUCUCCGUUAGUGCAUCCCAUAUUCCCUUUGGCAACAAAUCACGAAAAGCUAAUGGGAUGAGUGUUUGCAUAAACACGUGGCAGUCAUGACUCUUCAUUCCAUACAAUCUGCAGUCCUCUAUGUUAACAAGCCUUGAUAUGUUCGAUGCAUGUCCAUCCGGGAAACGCAGACUCUUAAGCCAUUUGUAGACUAGCAGUUGUGCGUUUUUCUCUAACACGAAGCUUGCCCUUGGUUUUGCAACCCGUGACUCGUCAUAAACCAACUCCAUAUUUUUACGGUUACAGUAUAAAGCUAUAUCCAAUCUAGCCUUCAUGUUGUCCUUUGUCUUCCCCUUCACAUCCAUGACGGUGUUGAAAAUAUUCUCAAACACGUUCUUUUCGAUGUGCAUGACGUCAAGGUUAUGGCGGAGAAGAUUAGUCUUCCAAUACGGAAGCUCCCAAAAGAUACUUCGCUUUACCCAAUUAUGGGUCAAACCAAAACCAGGAAACUUUUGCUUACCUGAUUGAAGGCCAAACACAAUGUCACCGUACUCUGAUACAACAUGAUGCAAUUCUUCACCAGAAAGACGCGGGGAUGCAACAUCUUUUUCAACUCUACCAACAAAGAAAUCUUUUCUGUUCUUUCUGAACCUGUGAUUAAGUGGCAAGAAGCGACGGUGACAGUAAAAAAAGAAGCUUUACCUCCGUUUGCUAGCGUGAAUGCCUUGUUGUUUUCCAUGCAGUAUGGACAUGCGAGUUUCCCAUGCGUGCUCCAACCAGAAAGCAUUCCAUAAGCUGGAAAAUCACUGAUAGUCCACAUCAAAGCCGCCCUCAUAAGGAAAUUUUGUUUCCUCGAUAUAUCAUAAGUCAGAGAUCCGGAGGACCACAACUGCGCCAGCUCAUCUAUCAACGGUCGAAGACAAACAUCUAUAUUCCGCCCCGGGCUGCUUGGACCGGGUAUGACAGUAGAUAGAAACAUGAACUCCGGCCUCAUACACAUUCCCGGUGGCAAGUUAUAAACUGUGAGAAUGACCGGCCAACAAGAAUAGGGAGCAGCAAAUGACCCAAAUGGGUUGAACCCGUCUGUACACAACCCAAGUCGAACAUUCCUUGAUUCAGCAGAAAAGUCAGGAUGAACACUGUUAAAGCGUUUCCACGCUUCGCCGUCAGAAGGAUGCACCAUCACACCAUCAACGACAUCGUGUGUUUGGUGCCAUGUCAUGUGCUCAGCAGUCCUUGGUGACAUAAAUAACCUCUGCAGUCUAGGUGUGAUCGGGAAAUAUCUAAGUUUUUUAUAUGCCACUAGAGUCUUCCCCCUGCCAGUUCUGGGUUUGUAACGGGAAUGCCCGCAUGUCAUGCACUCGGUCAUCUCAGCAUUUUCAAGGUAUAACAUGCAGAAGUUAGGGCACAUGUCAAUUUUCUGGUAUCCUAAACCGAGGGGUUUCAUCAUGGACUUCGCAGCAUAGAAGUUCUCUUUGAGCCUGUUCCCUGGUAAAAUGCUUCUUGCCCAAUCAAUAAUUUUGUCAUACCCGGCCUCACUCAACCCGUGAUCUGACUUGAUGGUGAACACCUGUGCCACGCCGAUAAUUUACUGUGGUUUGUGCAGCCAUCCCAUAAUGGUUCGUCAGAAUCUUUCAACAAAUCAAAAAACCUAGCUGCCUCUGCAUUAGGUUCUUCUUCUACGAUUGGACAUUGAUUGACAUUAUCUUGAUUCAUUCUCAUUGCAUCCAUAACCAUGUUUCUGUAAGGAUUAGUGUUGUCAUUUGCCGCUUCAUGCACGUUGCUAGCACUAGAAGUUGACCCAACCACCGUUUCUCCCAUUCUCCUAUUACUAACAAAUACCUCUCCAUGUGCAUACCAACACUCGUAAUCCUCCACAAACCCUUUGUGUAGAAGAUGCAUCAUUACAACAUCUGGAUGCAGAUACUUUUUAUUUUGACACUUCCUGCAUGGACACCUAAUACCGCCUCCAGUAAAAUUUCUGGGAAUAGAUGUUGCGAAAUUAAUAAAACCCUGAACCCCGUUACAAUAAUCCAUCCUCCGCAAUCCUUGGGGUGAAUCUAGAUACAUCCAUGAACGAUCAUCCAUGACUUCUAUCGAACCUCUAUAAAAAGGACCCAUUAAGCAAGCUCUUAAUUAUUUCAAAACAUAACAUGUAAUUCGGUAAUUCUACAAAUUAAGUUUUAACAAUUUUCAAACAAAUACAAUCUUACAAAAUCUAAAACAAACCAUAACAAGUAUAAAAUUAUACAUUCAUAUACUACAAGUUUGUUUGAGAAAUAACAAUAAAACAUGUACAUCUACUAAAAAAAAAUACAUAUACUAAAAAAACAAUAAAAUUGACAUUUAAAUGUUAAAAUUUUAAAAGAUAGAAUUACUUACAAAAAAUGAUAAAAUCCGUCGGUAAAUCAGAACACGGAUGCUGUGACCACAAAACUUCAAGAAAUACAACUUGUUGUGCUGAGAUGAGGAAGAUUUUUGUUUUGGGGCGAGGGGGGGCUGGUUAUUUUGCAGAUGGGGAGGGUUAGGAUUAGGAAGAAGAGGAAAAUGGGGGAGGAGAGUGUCGGCAGAGUGGCCAUAUAUUCACUUUUGUCGACGGCCUUACCGACGGUUUUAUUUCCUCGAUGAAUACGUCGGCGAAACCGUCGGUAAUUCUGACGGGCAAUCGACACGUCACUGCACGGACCUGCUAUUCAAAUCCCUCGAUGAUUCUGUCGGUAUUUUUAACGGUGCAUUGGUUAAGUCACCGGUACGGAUCUGGUAUUUCAAAUCCGUUGGUGAUUCCGUCGGUAUUAUUGAUGUAACCAUAUUAUUUGAUAGUUUCACCCGCAUUUAACUAGUGUUUUGCAUAUGUUAUUUAUAUAAAAUGCCUUGAUAUUCUUUGUUUUAUGUUUUGAAGGCAUUUUUGGAUGAAAGAUGCAAAAAGGAGUAAAUUGGAGGUAAUUGGCAGAUUUGACGUUCAGUCGGUAUUUUGUGCAGAGCGUGAGUUCCAGAGAUCGAAAUGAAGUGAUUCCAGUGGCAUUAAAAAGCUAACAUCCAUACCUUUUGGAAAUGUAAUGCAAGAAAAAUAAAAAGAGAAAGAUCAUGGAAAUCACAUCCUUCAAAGUCAAAUCUCGCAGUCUGCCAAUGUUGACCUUUGCCCAUUAAAAAUUCAAUAUCUGGAGCUUCAGAAGUCCAAUUGAUGCAAACUCAAAUUUUGUUGGAUUCCUUACUCAAAGAUCUAUAAACGCUCCAAAUUUCAGCCAAAAACGAUGUCAUAUGAGGGAUAUAUGACAUCGUUUUUGGCUGAAAUUUGGAGCGUUUAUAGAUCUUUGAGUAAGGAAUCCAACAAAAUUGAGUUUGCAUCAAUUGGACUUUGAAGCUCCAAAUAUUGAAUUUUUAAUGGGCAAAGGUCAACAUUGGCAGACUGCGAGAUUUGACUUUGAAGGAUGUGAUUUCCAUGAUCUUUCUCUUUUUAUUUUCUUGCAUUACAUUUCCAAAAAGGUAUGGAUGUUAGCUUUUUAAUGCCACUGGAAUCACUUCAUUUCGAUCUCUGGAACUCACGCUGCACAAAAUACCGACUGAACGUCAAAUCUGCCAAUUACCUCCAAUUUACUCCUUUUUGCAUCUUUCAUCCAAAAAUGCCUUCAAAACAUAAAACAAAGAAUAUCAAGGCAUUUUAUAUAAAUAACAUAUGCAAAACACUAGUUAAAUGCGGGUGAAACUAUCAAAUAAUAUGGUUACAUCAAUUAUUGACGGUGAACAGCUACCAUCACGCGUACGGGUCCGAGGUUUUCAUUUCGUCGGUGAUUCCGUCGGCAAAAUCACCCGCCAAAACCUCGGUGCCAUCUACCCAUCUUUUUUUCAUUAAUUCUGAAUUUUUUGUCGGUAAUUCGGUCGGUAAUUACCGACGGACUAUAUCCGUCGGUAAUUACCGACCGAAUUACCGACGAAAAUAGGUUGUCAGUGAUUUCGACCGAAAAAUACUAACAAAAAAAAUUCCGUUGGUGAGUCCAUUGGUAUUUAGCGAAUUUCUAGUAGUGCUGGUUUGAUUAGCUCGGGUUCAAGUCUGUGAACUUUGAAAACUAGAGAAGUUGGUGAUGAAGCCAUUGUGGAAUAGAAUGAUUUUUGUGGAAAAUGAUGCCAACUAGCAAGUUAUAUAUAGAAAAGGCUAAGAGUAUAUCAAACAAAUAAAGAUUGGACUUUGAAGUGGCAUGUAGAUGAAAAAAGAUAUUUGACCUAUUUUUUGAUGCUUAGCACAAUUUAAAAUUGAGGUUAACAUUUUUAGAUUUUGUGGUUUAAAUUAAAAUUAUGUGGCAUGUUUUGACUUGUCAUGUGCAUAAAGAUAGUAUGAACGUUGUUACAUUGAUAUAUAUAUUAUUUGGUAGAAUAUGUUGAUAUUUUUAUUUAGGAAUUUCAAGUUAGCUCUUCAAAUAUGAUAUAUUAGGAAAAAGUCCAUCGGUUAUAAAUAUGAAAUGGAGUCCUUUUAUUAAAUGUCAAACCAUGAGAGAAUUAUAAAAGUUUUUAUGUUACAAGUAGUUGAUCUUACUUAUAUAUUAAAUGUUUAAUGUCAUGUAUGAAAAAAAAUUAAUAUCCUCUUCGAUUAUUUUAUCCAACUACAAUUUAAAUUAUUUUUUUUAAAUAACAGCCAUAAAAAGAAUUACAAAAACAAACACUCGUAUUAUUAAUAAUCAUAUAUAACACAUGCUGAACGGACAUAAAAGGUAAAUGUCGUACUAAUAUUCAAAAAUAAAAUUCAAACCAAGCAUACAUAAAUGAUAUGUGGUACAUAGAAAAUAAGAGUAAACAAUUUAACUUAUAAAGAAGAUACGAUUAACUUGGAAUUUGCUCCUCCGUUAACUAGCUGUCCCUUUAGCAUGCCUUCAAGCUCCUUGUAAAAUCUUUCCACAGCAGGAGAUGGCAAGCAAAAUGGUACAACGAUCCCAUCUUCUCCUUUCUUAUUUGUAAACGGAAUAUAAAAGCUUGCAAGUUCAGGGAUGGCUUUUGCAGUCCCACCAUACGUAGCAUUUCCCCAUCCGAAAUCUACCUUUUCAAGUCCAGCACGUCUCAAGUCCGACACUAUGUAGGUCCCUGGCACAGUAAAAAGAGGCCUUCCCUUGCUCACCAUCAACGAUGCUGUAGAUCGCAAGUACUCCUCAGUCAUGUCCGCCUUAGCCUUCCUUACCAGCUCCAAAGCAUAUCCAAUUGGCUUUCUCGAAAGUUC
rnacentral:lncRNA from 1 species